rnacentral:rRNA from 1 species
UACGUAGGGUGCAAGCGUUAAUCGGAAUUACUGAGCGUAAAGCGUGCGCAGGCGGUUAUGCAAGACAGAUGUGAAAUCCCCGGGCUCAACCUGGGAACUGCAUUUGUGACUGCAUAGCUAGAGUACGGUAGAGGGGGAUGGAAUUCCGCGUGUAGCAGUGAAAUGCGUAGAUAUGCGGAGGAACACCGAUGGCGAAGGCAAUCCCCUGGACCUGUACUGACGCUCAUGCACGAAAGCGUGGGGAGCAAACAGG